rnacentral:lncRNA from 1 species
GUAGACUUCUCGAAAAUUUCGUGAAGCUAAUUUGAUAGCAAUUGGUUGAGGUUAGUUUGGUUAAAUUGAUGUUUUUCUGAGCUGCUGGUGUAUUUGAGCUGAAAUUGGAGAUUUUAUGGUUUUCUUGGAUCAAAUCUUGGAGGAAGCUGGAAUUCAGACCAAAGGAUGUUGCUCCAUCAUUCUCUACUGGUUUUGGGACUUUUCUUCAUCUGAAUUGUGGAUUGGAAUGUGAGUUUGACAUUGAGGUUUUGGAAGAAUUAAGCUUAAGUGCUGAAUUUGAGUGUAUUGUUGAAACCUUGGUGUUUUGUGUUUAGAUCUUUCGAGAAGGUCGUUGCUGGUUUGAGGCUGAU